UACCGAGUUUACAACUCCCAAACCCCUGUGAACAUACCUUAAUGUUGCCUCGGCGGAUCAGCCCGCGCCCCGUAAAACGGGACGGCCCGCCAGAGGACCCAAACUCUAAUGUUUCUUAUUGUAACUUCUGAGUAAAACAAACAAAUAAAUCAAAACUUUCAACAACGGAUCUCUUGGUUCUGGCAUCGAUGAAGAACGCAGCAAAAUGCGAUAAGUAAUGUGAAUUGCAGAAUUCAGUGAAUCAUCGAAUCUUUGAACGCACAUUGCGCCCGCUGGUAUUCCGGCGGGCAUGCCUGUUCGAGCGUCAUUUCAACCCUCAAGCCCCCGGGUUUGGUGUUGGGGAUCGGCUCUGCCUUCUGGCGGUGCCGCCCCCGAAAUACAUUGGCGGUCUCGCUGCAGCCUCCAUUGCGUAGUAGCUAACACCUCGCAACUGGAACGCGGCGCGGCCAUGCCGUAAAACCCCAACUUCUGAAUGUUGACCUCGGAUCAGG
rnacentral:rRNA from 1 species